GUGUGUGUGUGUGUGUGUGUGUUGCAUCUGCAUCUGCAAUGCCCACAGCUCUGGGUCAUCGGAGGGGGAGGGGUGACUGUGGAGUUGGGGGUGGGGUCUUGCAAUUCAAAAUGGCAGCUAAUGGCAGUGCGCUCACAAUGCUGGUUCAACAAUCAGAUGAGUUCAGUUUGGCAGAAGGAGUUGCAUAUAUGUAUGUAUGCUCGCUGUUGAUCGAUGAAGGGUGCUGGCUGGCCAACUUGCCUACUGGAAGGUUCUUUUCAUACAUGCCCAAACUACUGGCUUGUGAUUGGCUAAAACAUAGUUUGUUCCCUUCCCUUCAGGUUUGAGUGAAGUUGUGUUGGACUUUGUGUUUCUCAGUCCCCUACUCCUGACCUUGCCAGUGUGUGUACAUGUUGUUGUGUAGAGACAGCAGGCCAAAGUGUGUGUACAUGUUGUUGUGUUACAGACAGCAGGCCAAAGUGUGUGUACAUGUUGUGUUACAGACAGCAGGCCAAAGUGUGUGUACAUGUUGUUGUUGUACAGCAGGCCAAAGUGUGUGUACAUGUUGUGUUACAGACAGCAGGCCAAAGUGUGUGUACAUGUUGUGUAGAGACAGCAGGCCAAAGUGUGUGUGUACAUGUUAUGGACAGACAGCAGGCCAAAGUGUGUGUACAUGUUCUGGACAGACAGCAGGCCAAAGUGUGUGUCCCAUCUGACACUGAUCUGUUUGUUUCAUGACCGUGUGAACAGCACGCAGCGUCGGAAAUACACGAGGGCAAAGGGCAAAACUGCCCCUAAGAAAUAUAAUUUUGCCCCUGAUAUCACUAGGAGAGGGGCAAAAAAUGCCCCCAUAAUUUCCUCUAAUAAUAAUUUAAUGAACUUGUCAAAAACAUCGUAGCCUAUAUGACCCGGUCCAGUUGCCAUAAAAUGUUUUAGAUUUUCGCCUUGACUGAUUGUUGCGUGUGCGUGAAGAACCGAACAUUCUAACAAAAAUUAUAAAUGGAGCGCUUCUUAAUCAGACCUGUGACUGCGAGUGUGAGGAGAAAUGAGGAUCAGCAAACACAGUCUCCGUCACCAUCUCAGGUUCCAAAAGAUACAAUUUUCAUUCGAAUUAUUGAAGCUAGAUUGGCUUGGGGUGGAGGAUGACGACGACAACGAGAAAAAGACGCACAUUUCUUUCAAGGCACGUCGGAUUUGUGGACAACGAGUUGCCAAAUCGUUGUCAAUCCAGCACAGGCACACUGACUUCAUCAAGGGGAGCGAAAACAUAAAGAAAUACAUGGCCGUUUGUCACCAGGCGCCAAGCAACACGCCAUCGCCUACGGUGAAUGAUAACUAGUAAUAAUAUUUUUUUUUAUUAUUUAGUUCGGUUUAUCUAGUUAAACGUUAGUUAGCUAACGUUAGCUAGCUCUGAUAGUGCAUAAGCUACAAAGUCUUGCUUGCAAGCUAGCUAACUAGUCCCAUCUGUAUUUCCUGUACUAUGGUAGGUACAUGAUCAAAGGUAACAAAAAAAAAUCAAUAAAUAUAAUAAGUUAUUAUUAUAAAAAAGACAAAACUUAUAUUGUUAAUAGUUGUUUAAAAUGUUUUAUAAUAACAAUAAAUAACCACAAAGAAAUAAGAAUACAAUUGAAUAUGAUUGUCUGAUUUAUGUUUUCUGUUUGUUUUUUGUUCAAGAAAACACUUAAAAUUUGUAGAGUACUGCUUAAUAGUCUUAUUAUUGCCUUUUGAUGACAAUCCCCAUAUACUCUAAGCCUAAAUAAGGAUGUUUAUUAUUUUGAACAUAGUUAAAUGAUAUUUCACAAGUUUCAAAAAGUGCCCCCAAUUUUAUUUUAAAUGCCCCUGGAUUUCAGUCAGUGGGGGCAAAAAUUGCCCCCUAAAAAAUAUGUAAAUUUCCUACCCUGACAGCACGCAUCACAUGGAAUCUGGUCUUUUCAGUUCUGAUCUGGGCCACCUCCAUAUGUGGGUUUAAAUCAGGACCAGAUCAGAUUGGUUUGCAAUGCGACUUCAGGUGACCUGCACGUAGGCGUGUGAACUAAGGCUUCCGUGUGAUUGGCCCACACUCAUGGGGUGCACACCUAAACAAAACCUCUUUGGUUCUAUGGCAGUCAAACCUAGUAGUGGAGGAAAGUCACUGGUUCUCAUUUUUCUCCUAUGAGUUUUGACCAUUUGACCACUGAUUUUCCUCAUACACUUUUUGUAAGCAAUUGGUGUUAAUAGUAUCCUUUUUGGUGUUUUUUAGUAUCUGUUCAGAAAACAAAUAGCCUUUCUAUUUUGUGUAAACCAUGUUUUACUUUUUAACAGCAAGCAGAAAAUAACUAGCCAGAUUUCACACAGAUAGUUUAUGGCAACAUGCGUGUUAUACAUCACAGCGGAUGUCUCAUAGCCCCUGCUGUAUCUCUUGCCUGCUUCUAAAAUGGUUCUGCGUUGCCCAAAGCAUGUGAUUGGUGUGUGUUGGACAGCAGCGGAGAGUUACUCCAUAACGACACCUGGGUUGGAGAGAGCCUCAGGAAACCCCACCCCAUUCACUGUGUUUGACAUGCUUUCUCAAAUGUUUUCAUUUGGGUAUGAAUUAGGUGUUGCGCCUUAUUCUUCAUUCUAGAUAACCCCAGUAGUGAUAAAGUGGAGUAGCUCCUCAAUGUUUGAGAAUGGGCACAGUAGAGGCCAGGACACACUCCUAUGUGCACCACAGCAGUCAGAAUGGGGAGAGUAGAGGCCGCAGACGCAGACGCAGACGCAGACGCACAUGCUUCCUUAUCACUUAGGGCUUAAAGAAAUGUGGGAGGUGAGAAUGUUGGGCUGGGUCUUCCCGUGUGUGGACCUUCCUCUCGGAUGCAGGGUUUGAUGACAUGAUUGCAUGUGAGGGGAUAUGGUUGCUUGUCCAUCUCUGGCUGGAGCAAAACCUC
ensembl:lncRNA